UGUGAUGGGGAGCGAAAUUUAGUAGCGAAGUAGCUGAUUUCACACUGUCAAGAAAAGUCUCUAUCGAGGUUAAAGGUACCCGUACCGCAAACCGACACAGGUGGGUGAGGAGAGUAUCCUAAGGCCAGCGAGAGAACUGUUGUUAAGGAACUCGGCAAAAUGACCCCGUAACUUAGGGAUAAGGGGUGCCACCAUCAGGUGGCCGCAGAGAAUAGGC
rnacentral:rRNA from 1 species